CUUCCAUAGAAAAUGAUUAUGUUAAUAUAUAAUUUGUGAUGAGUCGACAUGUAAACUCUAAUUUUGACUAUUCUCAUUGUGACAGUUUAACUUUAUUGUGACACUACAAGUGUAUUGUAAAAUCUUUUAUAAAGAUUACAAAAGCAUUAUUUUCUUCUUCUUUUUGUCAUGAUUUUUAUGUUUUUAUAAGAAAUAAAGUGUCAUGAUUUAUUCAAUAAUAGAGAAAAGAAGAGGAGGUCUCCACCAAUAAAAGAGGAAGGGAGAGGAAAAAAAGAGUAAAAAAUCACAGCAAAAUUGCCCGGUUGUAAGGGUACUUGGCAAAAAAAAAAAAAAAGGUAAGAAUGCUGAUUGCAAUUCUUUAAUAAACAAAAAAAAAAUGUGGGAGAUCUCGUGUUCGAUAUUUCGAACUAUUGAGUCUGCUUGAGUAUGGUCACAAAGAGGGUAAAAUUCCUUAUAAUAUCUUUGGAUUCGAAAUAUAGAUAACUGUAACUUAUCAACGAUUUUCUUUUUCUUUUUCUUUUUUUUUUUUCAAAGAAAAAAGAGUAAAAGGUUGGACAAAGUUCACAACGGAGUGAAAGUCAGCCGGGUAGAAAGAUUACAAGUUGACCGCGCGAAUGACCUAGUAAGUAAACCGGGAAAAAGUGCAGGUAGACGCGUGCUCAUCCAGACAGCGCGAGUACGUACACGUAUCUCGCUAUACUCGAGCGAGUAAGACACCAAAUAGUUGGGUUCCACUUUCGAACGAAUUAGAACUUCUGGAAGCAUAGAUUACAGUACCUCCCACUCCCAGUUGUGAUUGUGCCCUUUUACUCUCACAGCUUUCUAGUAAUAAUAAAAAAUAAAAAAAUAAAAAAAACCCUUUUCAGUUCUUUAUCCAUCUGGAGAGUGGAGAGUGAGAGUUUCUUCUUCUUCUUCCUACAAACUCCUCAAAUUCCCCAACCCAAAUAGUCUUUUAAUUUCCAUUAAAUCUUCUGCUUUUCUGGAUUUUUUCAAGAGACCUAUUCUCUAGAUACAAUUUUAUGAGUCGUGUGUUUUCCUUCGUGGUUUGGCGAUACACAACCUUCUCCGUCUAUCAAAGGACUAAAACACAACAAAUUGAGUGCCAUUUAAUUUUCAAGUCAAGUAUGUUAUAAUUGUUUUCUCCUUUAUUGUUGUUUGUUGUGCGAAUUUUUACAUGAAGACUUUAUCCUAAUUCCCCUAAUCCCUUUCUAUCAUCUCUCAUUGAUAUGCUUCUUUCUCUUUUUAUUCAAAAAAACCAAUGCACCGAAGGUGUUUGAUGUUAUACCUCUUUGAAAAUUGUACUCUUUAAUUCCCGUAAUCCAUAUAAUCAUGACUUUCAUAGUUAUAUCUUUGGAAGAAUGUAUAAGGUUUGUGGGGUUGUAAUCCUGGAUUUGGCAGACGAGAUAGAUUUAACAUGGUAAUGGUGUGCGACUUGUACAAGCAAAGGCCUGACAUGAAAUUUCCCACCUUCUGCAUAUCCUGCAUCACACUAUAUCCUGGACAUAGGAUAGAACCCCCAUUGACACACAGGCCCCCAGGUAGACCAAAAGUUAAAAGACUAAAAUCUAUUGGGGAAGAAGCACGCCCCAACAAGUGCAGUAGGUGUGGUGAUGCUUACAUCUUCGUUGCCAUUUGAAUUUUUAUUUUAUUUUUUUUAUCAAUGUAAUAAAAUGAUGCCUUCAACUUUUUAGCUUACUCAUAUUCUUCCUUUUUCCA